GAAUUGAAAGCUAAUUCAAGCAUUGGUCUUGUAAGCCAAAGAUAGAGAAAUUCUCUCUCAAUUCU
rnacentral:tRNA from 1 species